rnacentral:lncRNA from 1 species
CCCUCAGACCCCUACUGGACAAGGACGGAUAGAGUUUUAGCUCAUGUGCUCAUCUGUUCUCCGCUGCACACGGAACAGAGAACUUACAACACAGCUCGUGAGAACUGCUGGAGCGCUGGAUGAUGUCACCCUACAGAGGCCUGAACUUGCUUCUGUCAGAUACUGAAACUGAGGCUCAGGAACACAUACCUAACCUUCCCUGUUACUACUGCCUACCCAACAACUCGUAUUUUCCCUGUUUAUAGAUGAAGAAAUCACCUUCUGAGAGGUUGAGAGGCUUGUUCAUGAUCAUGUGACUCCUAAGUAGGUGAACAGGAUGUGAAUCAACCUCAUUCGACACCAAAGUUUAGAUUCUGAAACACUGCCACACGCUAGCUUUAAAAACCUUUUAAACCACUUCACACCUGUGGGCAUAGCUAUCACCAAAAGGACGUAGCUGAGGCCGUGGAGAACCCCAAACU